rnacentral:rRNA from 1 species
GACGAGGGGUCCAAGCGUUGUUCGGAAUUAUUGGGCGUAAAGAGCUCGUAGGUGGCCUGUCGCGUCGGCUGUGAAAACUCGGGGCUCAACUCCGAGCUUGCAGUCGAUACGGGCAGGCUAGAGUUCGGCAGGGGAGACUGGAAUUCCUGGUGUAGCGGUGAAAUGCGCAGAUAUCAGGAGGAACACCGGUGGCGAAGGCGGGUCUCUGGACCGAUACUGACACUGAGGAGCGAAAGCGUGGGGAGCGAACAGG